rnacentral:misc_RNA from 1 species
CUGGGGAGAAUCUCUGUUGGCAUAAUCACACCAUACAAGCUGCAAUUGAAAUGUCUUCAACAUGAAUUUUCAGCAAUUUUAAAGUCAGAAUGAUUUGAGGCACGUACACAAGACAUAAUAAUGACAUCCCGUUCCUGGCCUUGAAAAGCAUCUACAGUAUUGAUAUAGAUAUCUUUCCCUUUGUUGGCUUUGUUGCUGAUAUCCGCCGGAUGAAUGUUGCUCUCACACGUGCGAGAAGGGCAUUAUGGGUUAUGGGAAAUGCAAAUUCUCUGGUGCAAUCUGAUGAUUGGGCUGCAUUGAUUGCUGAUGCUAAAGCAAGAAACUGCUAUAUGGACAUGGAUUCUCUCCCCAAAGAGUUUUUGGUUUCAAAGGGAAUGCAGGGCAAAUCCACCAAUACAAGGGGUUUGAGGUUAGGUGGUCCAAGACACAGAUCUAUGGAUAUCCACAUGGAGUCCAGAUCAGGAACGCCAUCAGAAGAUGAUGAUAGCUCAGGUGCACCUGUGAUUUCUAGGAAUGGGAGUUAUAGGCCCUUUAAGCCACUAAUGGACAAUUCAUUAGAUGAUUUUGAUCAAUCAGGUGAUAAAUCAAGGGAUGCAUGGCAAUAUGGCAUACAGAAGAAACAAAGUUCUUCUGGGGUUAAGAGAGACUCCUAGGUGUCUUGAUAAAUGCCUGCAAAUUCUUUUGGCAUUUGGGAUAGCGUUCAAUGUUAUUGAAUCUCUACAGUUGUGAUGCUGUCUCUUAGUGCCAGGAAGUCCUCGGUACCUGGGCUUCUUAUGCUCUGAUUGCAUCUGCUAAACACAAUUUGAAACAAGGGCCUAACUCUAACUUCUUACGCUGAUCGCAUUUGCUAAACAGAACAUAAAACAAGCUGGAAGUGCUGCAUUUAUAUUGGAUGCUUGGAGUGGAUGAACAGUGCUUUUGCAAUAGAUCGGUUCUGAUUGGAUUGGUUCCUGUGAUUUCUUGCUGAGAGAUGGGUACUUUUGAGUUAGUUGUGGGCGCCUUCAUCCACCUUCUCACUGGUGUGUCAGUAAGAAAUUAUUCUGUUGCACGCAAUUAACAUGUCUAAUUUGAACUUUUGUCUGUUGAUCACUGGACGGUGGGUAUACGAAUACCAGGAAUCAGUUGGUGGCAUCAAGAAACAGUUAUUAUUUAGAAGCUGAGGUGCCACCAUAUGGCGAUGGAGCUUACCCCACCAUAUUGACAUCUUUUCUGAUGUCUUUAGUUGAUGUGGGGUGUGAGGAGGCUUUCCAGUUAU